rnacentral:rRNA from 1 species
CGGUAACAGGCCCUUCGGGGUGCUGACGAGUGGCGGACGGGUGAGUAAUACUUAGGAAUCUACCUGGUUGUGGGGGAUAACCCGGGGAAACUCGGGCUAAUACCGCAUACGUCCCUCUGUCUUUGUGACAGGGGGGGAAAGCGGGGGACCUUCGGGCCUCGCGCUAUCAGAUGAGCCUAAGUCCGAUUAGCUAGUUGGUAGGGUAAUGGCCUACCAAGGCGACGAUCGGUAGCUGGUCUGAGAGGACGACCAGCCACACUGGGACUGAGACACGGCCCAGACUCCUACGGGAGGCAGCAGUGGGGAAUAUUGGACAAUGGGCGAAAGCCUGAUCCAGCGAUGCCGCGUGUGUGAAGAAGGCCUGCGGGUUGUAAAGCACUUUCAGUAGGGAAGAAAAGCCGAGUGCCAAUACCACUCGGUCUUGACGUUACCUAAAGAAGAAGCACCGGCUAACUCCGUGCCAGCAGCCGCGGUAAUACGGAGGGUGCGAGCGUUAAUCGGAAUUACUGGGCGUAAAGGGCGCGUAGGCGGUGAAGUAAGUCGGGUGUGAAAGCCCCGGGCUCAACCUGGGAACUGCAUUCGAUACUGCUUCGCUAGAGUAUGGUAGAGGGAAGCGGAAUUCCGGGUGUAGCGGUGAAAUGCGUAGAUAUCCGGAGGAACACCAGUGGCGAAGGCGGCUUCCUGGACCAAUACUGACGCUGAGGCGCGAAAGCGUGGGGAUCAAACAGGAUUAGAUACCCUGGUAGUCCACGCCCUAAACGAUGAGAACUAGCCGUUGGAGGAAAUUAGUCCUUUAGUGGCGCAGCUAACGCGAUAAGUUCUCCGCCUGGGGAGUACGACCGCAAGGUUAAAACUCAAAGGAAUUGACGGGGGCCCGCACAAGCGGUGGAGCAUGUGGUUUAAUUCGAUACAACGCGAAGAACCUUACCUGCCCUUGACAUCUGGGGAACCCCGCAGAGAU